GAUUACAUACAUAUCAUCUUUUUCUCUCUCUCUAAUACAAUCAUGGCGGCACCUUUCUCUUGUGUUUCUUCACUGUCUUAAGUUUCUUGCAACAACAAAAAUCUAAAUAACUAUUAUAGUUUGAGAGAAUUGAAGAAUGGAAGCUUCUAACCAUAAAAAAGAGAAGAUGAAAUAUGAUUAUAACUUUGAGAGAAUUGAUGAAUUGAAG
rnacentral:lncRNA from 1 species